UUGGGCGUAAGCGUGCGCAGGCGGUUUGGAAAGUCAUUAUUGAAAUUUCAGGGCUCAACCCUGAACCCGGUGAUGAUACUUUCAGACUAGGUUACUUGAGGGGGUACCGGAACAGUUGGUGGAGCAGUGAAAUGCGUUGAGAUCAACUGGAACACCAAAGGCGAAGGCAGGUACCUGGCAAGUCAAUGACGCUGUUGCACGAAAGCGUGGGGAGCAAAACGGAUUAGAUACCCGUGUAGUCCACGCUGUAAACUAUGGACACUAGAUAUCAGAGUGGUUGACGCUUUGGUGUCGUAAGCUAACGCGUUAAGUGUCCCGCCUGGGGAGUACGGCCGCAAGGCUAAAACUCAAAGGAAUUGACGGGGACCCGCACAAGUAGGGGAACGUGUGGUUUAAUUCGAGACAAAACGAAGAACCUCACCAGGGUUUGAAAUGUUAGUUUUAGGACUCCGAAAGGAGAACAAACCGCAAGGUAGCUAACACAGGUGCUGCAUGGCUGUCGUCAGCUCGUGUCGUGAGAUGUCGCCUUAAGUGGCUCAACGAGCGCAACCCUCAUCACUAGUUGUAUCACUCUAGCGAAACCGCCCCGCCUUUUGCACAUAAGUGCAAAAUUCGAAUUAAAAUUUCGGA
rnacentral:rRNA from 1 species